GAGUAGUCAAUAGGAUGAUUCUACUGAAUACAGAGAGGAUAUAGAAUACUUCUGUGAUUAUGCUUUUGGGAAUGCGGCACUCUUACAUCAAGGAUAGGCUCAUUGCCCUUAUAAGAGAUGUAACAAUAGAGAAAUACUUGAUAAGGAUAUAAUGACUGUCCAUUUAUAUAGGAGUGGAUUUAUGUCCAACUACAAGCAUUGAUGUCUGUA
rnacentral:lncRNA from 1 species